rnacentral:misc_RNA from 1 species
GAUGAAGAAAGCAGCGAAAUGCGAUACGUAAUGUGAAUUGCAGAAUUCAGUGAAUCAUCGAGUCUUUGAACGCACAUUGCGCCCCCUGGUAUUCCGGGGGGCAUGCCUGUCCGAGCGUCAUUGCUGCCCUCAAGCACGGCUUGUGUGUUGGGCCUCCGCCCCCCGGCUCCCGGGGGGCGGGCCCGAAAGGCAGCGGCGGCACCGCGUCCGGUCCUCGAGCGUAUGGGGCUUCGUCACCCGCUCCGUAGGCCCGGCCGGCGCCCGCCGGCGACCCCCCUCAAUCUUUCCAGGUUGACCUCGGAUCAGGUAGGGAUACCCGCUGAACUUAAGCAUAUCAAUAAGCGGAGGA